GAUGAACGCUAGCGAUAGGCCUAACACAUGCAAGUCGAGGGGCAUCACAUGAAGUAGCAAUACGGAUGGUGGCGACCGGCGCACGGGUGAGUAACACGUAUGCAACCUGCCUUCAACAAGGGGAUAACCCGUUGAAAGACGGACUAAUACCCUAUAACACAGGGGUCCCGCAUGGGAAUAUUUGUUAAAGGACAACCGGUUGAAGAUGGGCAUGCGUUCCAUUAGCUAGUUGGCGGGUAACGGCCCACCAAGGCAACGAUGGAUAGGGGAACUGAGAGGUUUAUCCCCCACACUGGUACUGAGACACGGACCAGACUCCUACGGGAGGCAGCAGUGAGGAAUAUUGGUCAAUGGACGCAAGUCUGAACCAGCCACGUCGCGUGAAGGAAGACGGCCCUACGGGUUGUAAACUUCUUUUAUACGGGAAUAAAGUGCCCCACGCGUGGGGUUUUGCAUGUACCGUAUGAAUAAGGAUCGGCUAACCCGUGCCAGCAGCCGCGGUAA
rnacentral:rRNA from 1 species